UGUGAUAUACAGCAACAGAGCCUGAGGU
rnacentral:piRNA from 1 species